rnacentral:lncRNA from 1 species
UUGACCGACCCCCUCACCUGGGUGGUUUGGUUUGUUUUAGCUUUUUCAUGGUCAGAAAUCGCGUACUCCACGCUCGCCAUAGUUUCUUACCGGAAAAGGCUGGCUGUGAUUGAUUAAGCACUAAAAAGCCCCUCCUUCUAGCGCCAAUGUUAACGCCAAGUUUCGCCGGCGCGUCCAAUCACAGAAUCCACGCGCUAGAACCUGCACAAUAACAAAUCAC